rnacentral:rRNA from 1 species
UGGGGAAUAUUGCGCAAUGGGCGAAAGCCUGACGCAGCGACGCCGCGUGAGGGAUGAAGGUUUUCGGAUCGUAAACCUCUGUCAGAAGGGAAGAAACCGCACUGUGCUAAUCAGCAGUGCCUUGACGGUACCUUCAAAGGAAGCACCGGCUAACUCCGUGCCAGCAGCCGCGGUAAUACGGAGGGUGCAAGCGUUAAUCGGAAUUACUGGGCGUAAAGCGCACGUAGGCUGCUUUGUAAGUCAGGGGUGAAAUCCCACGGCUCAACCGUGGAACUGCCUUUGAUACUGCUUAGCUUGAAUCCGGGAGAGGGUGGCGGAAUUCCAGGUGUAGGAGUGAAAUCCGUAGAUAUCUGGAGGAACAUCAGUGGCGAAGGCGGCCACCUGGACCUGUAUUGACGCUGAGGUGCGCAAGCGUUGGGAGCAAACAGG